rnacentral:rRNA from 1 species
GACGAACGCUGGCGGCGUGCUUAACACAUGCAAGUCGAACGGAAAGGCCCUGCUUUUGUGGGGUGCUCGAGUGGCGAACGGGUGAGUAACACGUGAGUAACCUGCCCUUGACUUUGGGAUAACUUCAGGAAACUGGGGCUAAUACCGGAUAGGAGCUCCUGCUGCAUGGUGGGGGUUGGAAAGUUUCGGCGGUUGGGGAUGGACUCGCGGCUUAUCAGCUUGUUGGUGGGGUAGUGUCUUACCAAGGCUUUGACGGGUAGCCGGCCUGAGAGGGUGACCGGACACAUUGGGACGGAGAUACGGCCCAGACUCAUACGGGAGGCAGCAGUGGGGAAGAUAGCACAAUGGGCGGAAGCCUGAUGCAGCAACGCCGCGUGCGGGAUGACGGCCGUCGGGUGGUAAACAGCUUUCGCCUGUGACGAAGCGUGAGUGACGGUAAUGGGUAAAGAAGCACCGGCUAACUACGU